GUUUCAAGAUGGCGGAGCGAAUUGCAUGGUUAUUGUUUCUACUCGAUGGAUUCGCAGAUACUUCGGAAAUAGAUCAGAUUGGGAUUAAUAACUUUAUUGCAUACGAUCAUUUACAUGUAUUACCUGGUGUGUGUUGCCAGUAAUGGUUGAAGAUAUGCCAAACAAAUUGUGCCUCUCUAUACAGACAGAUUUCAGGUCUCAAUUUCAACUUCAAAGGUCAACAUAUCACUGAUAUCAGGGACUCAACAUUACACAGUCAUUUCAACAUGUAGAGUCUUGUCAGCAAAGAUGGAGCAGUACAUCAGAUUUUCCGAAUCUCGUCAUGAGCUGAAGAUCAUUGCCUAUGGAUUUCAUGAAUGAUGUAAAAUGAUUUGACUGUUGAUGGAACCCACAGUGCAUGUCCUGCUUCAACAUCUGAGCAUAGGUCCUUGUUUAUCAGCAGUUUAGUUCUUCAAGCAGUCUGUGACAGUAACUUGAAAUGU